AAAUUGAAGAGUUUGAUCAUGGCUCAGAUUGAACGCUGGCGGCAGGCCUAACACAUGCAAGUCGAACGGUAACAGGAAGCAGCUUGCUGCUUUGCUGACGAGUGGCGGACGGGUGAGUAAUGUCUGGGAAACUGCCUGAUGGAGGGGGAUAACUACUGGAAACGGUGGCUAAUACCGCAUAACGUCGCAAGACCAAAGAGGGGGACCUUCGGGCCUCUUGCCAUCAGAUGUGCCCAGAUGGGAUUAGCUUGUUGGUGAGGUAACGGCUCACCAAGGCGACGAUCCCUAGCUGGUCUGAGAGGAUGACCAGCCACACUGGAACUGAGACACGGUCCAGACUCCUACGGGAGGCAGCAGUGGGGAAUAUUGCACAAUGGGCGCAAGCCUGAUGCAGCCAUGCCGCGUGUAUGAAGAAGGCCUUCGGGUUGUAAAGUACUUUCAGCGGGGAGGAAGGUGUUGUGGUUAAUAACCACAGCAAUUGACGUUACCCGCAGAAGAAGCACCGGCUAACUCCGUGCCAGCAGCCGCGGUAAUACGGAGGGUGCAAGCGUUAAUCGGAAUUACUGGGCGUAAAGCGCACGCAGGCGGUCUGUCAAGUCGGAUGUGAAAUCCCCGGGCUCAACCUGGGAACUGCAUUCGAAACUGGCAGGCUUGAGUCUUGUAGAGGGGGGUAGAAUUCCAGGUGUAGCGGUGAAAUGCGUAGAGAUCUGGAGGAAUACCGGUGGCGAAGGCGGCCCCCUGGACAAAGACUGACGCUCAGGUGCGAAAGCGUGGGGAGCAAACAGGAUUAGAUACCCUGGUAGUCCACGCCGUAAACGAUGUCUACUUGGAGGUUGUGCCCUUGAGGCGUGGCUUCCGGAGCUAACGCGUUAAGUAGACCGCCUGGGGAGUACGGCCGCAAGGUUAAAACUCAAAUGAAUUGACGGGGGCCCGCACAAGCGGUGGAGCAUGUGGUUUAAUUCGAUGCAACGCGAAGAACCUUACCUGGUCUUGACAUCCACAGAACUUUCCAGAGAUGGACUGGUGCCUUCGGGAACUGUGAGACAGGUGCUGCAUGGCUGUCGUCAGCUCGUGUUGUGAAAUGUUGGGUUAAGUCCCGCAACGAGCGCAACCCUUAUCCUUUGUUGCCAGCGGUCCGGCCGGGAACUCAAAGGAGACUGCCAGUGAUAAACUGGAGGAAGGUGGGGAUGACGUCAAGUCAUCAUGGCCCUUACGACCAGGGCUACACACGUGCUACAAUGGCGCAUACAAAGAGAAGCGACCUCGCGAGAGCAAGCGGACCUCAUAAAGUGCGUCGUAGUCCGGAUUGGAGUCUGCAACUCGACUCCAUGAAGUCGGAAUCGCUAGUAAUCGUGGAUCAGAAUGCCACGGUGAAUACGUUCCCGGGCCUUGUACACACCGCCCGUCACACCAUGGGAGUGGGUUGCAAAAGAAGUAGGUAGCUUAACCUUCGGGAGGGCGCUUACCACUUUGUGAUUCAUGACUGGGGUGAAGUCGUAACAAGGUAACCGUAGGGGAACCUGCGGUUGGAUCACCUCCUUACCUUAAAGAA
rnacentral:rRNA from 3 species